CCGUGCUAAACGGGGAGGUAGCGGUGCCCUGUACCCGCAAGCCGCUAUAGCGGGGUUGAAUUCCUGCCCCCGGGCCCGGCUUGUGGUAGCGGCCCCCGUAAGGAGUGAGGACGGUUGGGUCUCGCGCGACGGAGCUUCCUGAACCGUGUCAGGUCCUGGCGGAAGCAGCACUAAGGGAAAUCCUCCGGGUGCCGUGAGGGUGCCUGGCCCGAGCUACCUGCGGCGGGUACAACCGGAAGCUGCGGCUCAAAGGCAGGUGCACGG
rnacentral:SRP_RNA from 1 species